GCUGCGAUGGCCGAGUGGUUAAGGCGUUGGACUCGAAAUCCAAUGGGAUAUUCCCGCGCAGGUUCGAAUCCUGUUGGCAGCG
rnacentral:tRNA from 1 species